rnacentral:rRNA from 1 species
UGCUAUACAUGCAGUCGAGCGAGCUUGCCUAGAUGAAUUUGGUGCUUGCACCAAAUGAAACUAGAUACAAGCGAGCGGCGGACGGGUGAGUAACACGUGGGUAACCUGCCCAAGAGACUGGGAUAACACCUGGAAACAGAUGCUAAUACCGGAUAACAACACUAGACGCAUGUCUAGAGUUUAAAAGAUGGUUCUGCUAUCACUCUUGGAUGGACCUGCGGUGCAUUAGCUAGUUGGUAAGGUAACGGCUUACCAAGGCAAUGAUGCAUAGCCGAGUUGAGAGACUGAUCGGCCACAUUGGGACUGAGACACGGCCCAAACUCCUACGGGAGGCAGCAGUAGGGAAUCUUCCACAAUGGACGCAAGUCUGAUGGAGCAACGCCGCGUGAGUGAAGAAGGGUUUCGGCUCGUAAAGCUCUGUUGGUAGUGAAGAAAGAUAGAGGUAGUAACUGGCCUUUAUUUGACGGUAAUUACUUAGAAAGUCACGGCUAACUACGUGCCAGCAGCCGCGGUAAAAAAAUUU